rnacentral:lncRNA from 1 species
CGCUCAUGUGGAAGGGGUAUUACGCAGCUCACCCCCAGGGUAGCUUUCAGGUCCAGCUCUCCCUGGCUGCAACCUGUGAGCAUCUUGUCCAUCUUGUUGCAGGGACAAGAAGAACUGAGGAUUAAAUGAGGUUGCUGCCUUUUAUGAGCAGGUAUGCGGGAGUAUUUAAAUUUCUAUAUAUUUCAGAGCUUCUUGUGCACAGAAGAGGGAACAACGCACUUGUACAUUACUGCCAGUUACAACAGGAAAAUACAUAUUUAGCUUACAUAAUGGCAUUGUUAAUUAUGUUAAGUAUUUUACAUUGAUAACUCACAUAUUCACCACUGUACAAGCCAGAUCUGUAAAGCUGCUAACAGUUGUGUUAAUUUCUCUUUUGUAUCACACAUUGCCAAGUAUCUUGGAAGACUUUACCAAUGAGGUGGCCUCAAACCUUGGUUUCCCCUUGCAUCUGUGUGCACCUGCCCUAAUGUUAUGGCAGCUCCAGCUCCAAAUCCUGAUCCUAAGGUACUUCUUCAAAAUGCUAUUUUACUGAAUAACACAUGUAUAUACAAUACUUUUUAACAGAGUCAAUUUUACCAAUAUGUGUUCUUAUAAAUAGUCCCAUGGAGUUUCUGCUGCAUUCCCAUAUAUUGUUGACCUCCCACAACCUCCCCUCCUUGCCUGUUUAGAAUACCCACCUAGCCUGUUUAGACUAUAUUUAAUAGUCACCAUUACUGACCUUCUACUUAUAUUGUGAAUCCGUGCCACCAGUCCUGACAUUCUGCCCCACAAAAACUAGGAGGUAUGAGAACACAAUAGGAAGGAUGUUGAAGGAGACAAAAAAUAAACAUUUUGGGAAAGAAACAGAACUGGAGGUGAGAGUGGAGUGUGACCCUUUAGGAGAGAGACAGAGGCAGGUUUGUGAGAUAGACGUUUCUCUGGGAGGCCAUAAGCAUUCCUGAGGGACUGUUUUGAGGGACUUCUUAAAGGUUUGAAGACUAGGGGAGAGUCUGACCGAAGUAGGCAGGUUGUUCCAAAGUAAAGGAGCCACCUGCGAGAUGUCCUGCAGGCAUGAAUUUGAAGUAAGGGUGCGAGCAGUAGACAGAUGAAGAUCACCAGUAGAGCAGAGAGACCGAGAGGGGGCAUAUAUAUGAAUCAGUUAAUAAAUCUAAGAGGGGCUAGAGUUGGUUAGAGCUUCAUAGGCAAGGGUUAGUAUUUUGAAUUGACACCUGUAGAGUACAGGAAGCCAGUGUAAGGAUCAAAAGAGGGACGAGGUGUGAGUGGAGUGACAGGGAAAAAAAAUCUGCCUGGUAGCAGAAUUCAUCACAGAUUGUAGGGGGGCAGUAUGACUUCUGGGGAAACCAAUUAGGAGAGAAUUACAGUAAUCCACAAUAGAGGUUACUAGAGCAUGAACAAGGUCCUUGGCUGCAUCUUGCGUAAGAAAGGGGCGGACGCGGGGCAAUGUUUUUAAGGUGGAAUUGACAGGUUUUAGCAACAGACUGGACGAGGCACAAACCUCACGUUUGUGCCUCAUGUCCAGUUUGUUGCUAAAAUCAGUCGAUCAAAAAUGACACCUAGACAGUGUGUUUGCAAGGAUACCAUCAUGCAGAUACCAUCAACCUGCAGGGAGAGUGAAAGAGGAGGAUCAGUAUCAGAUUCCCUGUCCCUGGAUUAAAAAGCUCUCUGUUCCAUUCGCCUGUCUGUUCAAUAGAUUGCAUUCCCAUUUUCUUCUAACAUUGUCCUGUUCGAAUACCAAACAACCGCACGAACCGGGUACCACCCAGGACCUUGUUAGCACCUAUUUACACCUUGGAAUGGUUCUCACUGCACUGUUCUCAUUGUUCGUCUGGGUGGCCGCAAUUCCUAUGGACAACCACGAGGUGGUGGCCAUCUUGUUCGCAUAAACGCAGGCAGCGGUGUUUGGGCAUGAAUAUCAUGGAACUAAAAAUCCAUAAGGCAAUAAGAAAAAUUCACAGGCACUCUAAAUAUGAAAGCCACAGGCAGAUUUAUUGCAACGAAAUGAACAGCAACGUUUCGACCUAACAAGAGGUCUUUGUCAAGCUCUUGUUAGGUUGAAACAUUGCUAUUCAUGAUUUGCAAUAAAUCUGCCUGUGGCUUUCACAUUUGGAGUGCCCGUGAACUUUUCUUAUUGCCUUAUCAUAUUAUCGUAUUGGGAUUGCUGGUCCUGUUCCAGAGCACCUGUAGCCGUUAGCAGUGAGUGCGGUUUCUGCAACCAACUGGAACUAAAAAAGAGGGGUUACCUUAGCAGCCACAAAAACUUACUUACAAAUAACACUGGCCGCUAGACAAUCAAUAGCAACCAAUUGGCUCAAACAGGAUCUACCUAGCAUUACAGAAAGCAUUGAUGGAGGACAAUAGAAUUAUGGACCAACUCACUGCAACGACUAGAAAUACCCUUACUUCUUUGCACAAAAUAUGGUCUAUGUGGGAUGAAUAUGUUAACUAGAAUUAAUAUAAGAGAUUAGAGCUAGUCACCAUCGUGACCACUGUGGCACCUAUCACUCCUAUUCCCCUUCCUUUUUUUUCUUGUUUAUUGUUUUAGUAUUGGAUUGCUCUUUUUGUAUUCCAGGCAGGUGGUAUGAGAACAGAUAGGCUCACAAAAUGCAAUAUGAGUAGGUAUCCUUGCUCACACGGACACAGAUCUGGCUCUUCUUGACAUCUGACAUCUUCAAUGUAUAAUACCCCAGGUCUACAACCCAAUAUUUACUUGGUUCUUUUGUUCUUCUUUUUGUGUUCCUUUUUUGUAUUGUUGCUAUAAAAUCCAUGGAAUGGAUCAAUCUCUUGUCCUGAAAUGUGCAAAUACUUAUUAAUUCAUCAAUUUAAUAAUAAUUUUAAAAAAAAGUGAAAUUCAAAUUUGAGACCAAAGUAGACAAACUGGAACUUUUACAGUUCAAAGUUCAACAUUUAAUUCAAAACAUACAAGAAAAUUAAGUUAGUUUUAUUUAUUAAUUAUUCAUAAUUGUUUAGUGAUGUGGAUGAAUUAAUUCUUUGAAAAGCUAUGAAUGACAAGUCGGGGAGUUUGUAGGUACCUGUAGUAGCUGAUAUUUUACAGGAAUCCAGGGUUAAGGCCCAGACAGUUUUGUUCUAAUAGAGUUGGCAAGCAAAGUAAUAUUUAUGUUAAAAUGAUUGUGUUUAAACAUGUUUAUUGUUGUUUGUAAAACCUUUAGAAGAUUCCACUGCUGAUUCAAUCGGACACAGAAACUCCCAAACACCACUGGACUUCCAUCAUCGCCUGCGUUUGGUUCUACACAAUUUAGAAGGGCACUGUUCGGUGGAAUCCAUCGUCUGAAUAAGCUCCAGG